CUCUCCUAACAGAACCCAUCUUCUUCCUCUUUUCCCUUAACCAAAUCAAACUCUCUCUCUCUCUCUCUCUCUCGAUCUCUCGAUUACUUGAUCCUUCCAUCAAGCUAUUACCAUGUUCCUCUCUCUCUCUCUCUCUCUCUCUCUCUCUUUGCUAUGCACGUUUUCCUCUCUCUCGCCCCCACUGCUCUCAUCUGCUUCUUCUAUCGAUCUCAGAUUAAAGAAGAGUUUUUGAAGAUACAGUGAGUGCUCAAAUUUCGAAAUCGUUGGGACUUAAUACAUUUGAAAAUGUUGAGGAUUCUGAUGAUGAUGAAACACAACUUGGCUAUGGUAAUCACAUUCCUUUCUUCCAUGUGACUAGAGAUUCUUCAAAUUCUUAUGUAAGGAUAACGAUUAAUUGUUUGAUACUAUUUUUUUUUUUUUCUUUUUCAUUUUGUAAUUUGGAAUCAUGCCUCAGACAAUCUCUAAUAUGUCCUUAGUUUUUUUAUUGUUUGUUCUUUAUUACUUCUCUCCACUGUUGAAUCGAUGUCGCCAAAUGCUUUAUCAAAUUUGGCACUGAUCUCAUCCGUCAAAAUUGUUGGAAAAACAUGGUAAUUCUUUUAUUCCUUCCUCUGUUCUUGUUAGAGUAAUAUUUACUUUUUAUUUUGUGGAGAAGUUUGGUUCCAUUACUUCAACUCAAAAAUAAAGUUUGGUUCUAUUACGGAUAAAUUUUAUCAAAGCUGUUUAUUUAAUCAGUGUGUUAAUUAUGACUUAUGAGACGCCAAGAAAUGUUGGGCAGCCAAAACAUUUCAAUUUAGCUCACUCUUCUUCGGCUUCACUCUUCCUCGUUAAUAAUGACAUCUUGCCUCAUCUCUUAGCUACAGCUAUAAGCGUUUUUCUUGCACCAACAGGUAAUUUACCGAUCUGUUGAUAUCAUUAUGGAUAUGUCAAUAUAAAUAAUCUUGAAUCCUUGAUUAAUGAAUAACAUUGAAUGUUAAUAACUUCAUCAGCACACAGAAUUGCAGAUAAAUUAAUCAUAACACAUAGAUGAAGCAGACUAAAGGUAAGGAUUGUUUUUUUUUUUUUAAUCGGCUAAUAAUACUAAUCAUUCACGAUCUUGAAAGGACGAGCAAAACAGAUACAACCAAGAAACGCCUGCCCUAUAUAUGCAGUAAAACUGAAAACCCGAAGGAAAAAAGACCAAAAACUUUCAACGAGUAACCAGCAGACACGCCUCAAACAAGACUAAAUACGCCUCAAACAAGACUAAUACAUCAUGUUGCUGUUUUUUGUGCAAAUACAAAGACUAUAACAUCAACAUCAACAACAAAAACAACCCUUUUGUUGAUGAUUUAAUAGACCCUCUUUGCAAGUUGAACCCAAGAGAAACCUGAAUUUGUCAAAUCCAUGCCAGCUCUAAAUCUCAACGCAGUAAACAGAACAUUCAACAAUGUUUCUGGAACACGGUUGAGAAAAUUUGAAGCUCCUUUGACACCUGGUAGACAGACCCCUUUACAGCUUCAGUUCUUCUGUUGUUUGAAGAAAGUUUCCCAUAAAAAGUUUUCUUUCAAAAUGGUAUUGAUACUGAAAAAUGGCUCACAAGCACUUGUAGUCAUGAUUCACCUGCUCAUAACAACAACACUUUAAAAUUUGUUUCUUCAGAAUUCUCAAACAUUAGAAGUAGACAAUGCGAUAAUAGCUUUAAGCAGAAUGUGCAUGAUUUUUGAAACAAAUCAAGGGUCAUAAGGGAAAAAGUGUUGUCAAAAUUUUUGUGAAACAAAACCAAUUGCUACUGCAGGCUGCUUUAUGACUAUUUGAGUAAACAUAGCUUUAUAUAGUGGCAGUAUCAUUCCAAUGAAGAAUAAUGCUCCAAUACAUAUUGCAAUGAAGUCCCUAUAAAGUUCCAACCAGACUUUGCAAGAUGGCAGCAACUUGUAAAAAAAUGCAUGCAGGGAAUAGAAGCAAUCCAAUUAAAGUUCAUUUUAUGUGACAGUCUACCAUUUGAACAACCAACACAUAUCAUUAAAGGUGCUGAAAAGAUUGUACAUAUAUAAUUUAAUAUUUUUCCAAAUAUAAAGGAUCUCCAAGUAGCAAAGGAUUCUAGUAUGAAAUCAAGACCUUGUCUGGCAGCAAGGAAGUAUUACAUUUAUUCAAUGUAUUGCCUCUUUUGGGAAAACUGAGAAAGGUUGGGUUCGGUUUACAAUAUAAAUUCACAGAGUAAGAUGAACUUGCACUUGCACUUUUUCUGCCAAUUACUAAGUUGAUAUAAAGCUUUAAAAUAUUUAAGGGGUUCCAUUCUAAUGUAUGCGAGGAAUGUUACAUGUUCAGCGCGACAAGAUGAAGAUAGCGAGGAGGAGCAAAGGCUGGCAAAGCGGCAGAAGCAGGCACAGCAGAGGAGGAGGCAGGCAUGGAGAAUUGCGAACGAUAGCUGGUGUUCUUCGUGUCCUUUUCAGAUUCUUCAAUAUACUUAGUAACCACCAAUCACAAACUCUUAUUAGAUGUAUAAAUGAACCUUGACAAUGAUAAAUUUUAUUUAUAAGAUAUAUUAAUUCACUAAACACACAAGACACGAUAUAACCAAUACAAAGAUACAAAUAAUGAGCCAUUAUUAAAUAUUUCAAAUCAUAUGUAAUAGAGGUAAACAUUGUUCUUUAUAUGAUUGAAU